AGAGUUUGAUCCUGGCUCAGAGCGAACGCUGGCGGCGUGCUUAACACAUGCAAGUCGAACGCGCAGCAUUCUGUAGCAAUACAGGGUGUGGGCGCGUGGCGAACGGGUGCGUAACACGUGGAUAACCUUCCUUCAGGUGGGGAAUAACCCAGUGAAAAUUGGGCUAAUACCGCAUAACAUGACGAUGGCACAUGCUGUUGUCUUCAAAGGCGCAAGUCGCCAGAAGAGGGAUCCGCGGCCGAUUAGCUUGUUGGCGAGGUAAUGGCUCACCAAGGCAUUGAUCGGUAGCCGGACUGAGAGGUUGGCCGGCCACACUGGAACUGAGACACGGUCCAGACUCCUACGGGAGGCAGCAGUGGGGAAUCUUGCACAAUGGACGAAAGUCUGAUGCAGCAACGCCGCGUGGGGGAUGAAGCUUCUCGGAGUGUAAACCCCUUUCGACCCGGAAGA
rnacentral:rRNA from 1 species